GACGAACGCUGGCGGCGUGCCUAAUACAUGCAAGUCGAACGCAGGGGGGACGGGUGAGUAACACGUGGGUAACCUCCCAUCAGAGGGGAUAACACUUGGAUACAGGUGCUAAACCGAUACUGAUGGAUGGACCCGCGGUGCAGUAGCUAGUGGGUGGGGUAACGGCUCACCAAGGCCACGAUGCAUAGCCGGUCUGAGAGGGUGACCGGCCACACUGGGACUGAGACACGGCCCAGACUCCUACGGGAGGCAGCAGUAGGGAAUAUUCGGCAAUGGGCGAAAGUCUGACCCAGCAAUGCCGCGUGAGUGAAGAAGGUUUUCGGAUUGUAAAGCUCUGUUGUUAGGGAAGCGGUAUCUAACGAGAAAGCAACGGCUAACUACGUGCCAGCAGCCGCGGUAAUUC
rnacentral:rRNA from 1 species